rnacentral:rRNA from 1 species
GACGAAGGGGGCUAGCGUUGUUCGGAAUUACUGGGCGUAAAGCGCGUGUAGGCGGUUGUCCAAGUUGGAUGUGAAAGCCUUGAGCUUAACUCAAGAAAUGCAUUCAGGACUGGAUGACUAGAGGACCGGAGAGGAUAGUGGAAUUCCCAGUGUAGUGGUGAAAUACGUAGAGAUUGGGAAGAACACCAGUGGCGAAGGCGGCUAUCUGGACGGUUUCUGACGCUAAGACGCGAAAGCGUGGGGAGUAAACAGG